UUUGUGUUGUUCUGUGUUUUCUGUCUGUAACUCUGUGUUUUUUAUGCUGCUGCCUGUCUUGGCCAGGGGGCUGUUGCACAAAAGUAGAAUAAAGAAAUCCAGGAUAACUGAAAAAGCGCAGCUUGACUUAGUGUGAUCCGCUCAUCACGGCUUAUUCGGUUGCAUGUUUGCCAAGCCAGGAUGAGAAGGUGUCAAUCCAGGUGUACAUAGUUGGGAUAAGUGCACCUUGACGGAUUUCUUAAAUAGACCACGGUAUCGAUCACAAAUUCACUGAUGCAGAAAUGGAAAAGACGCGUGCAGCAUAUUUUUCUCCCGCUGAGCAGCAAUUAUGAAGAAGUGAAGCAUAUAACAUGCAAAAAGGGUAACACGGCAGCCGUCAUUAAACAGCGAGAACAAGCCUGGCAGACAAUUGCUGACCGACUGAAUGCGUAAGGAUUUUAAAAUUUCUACUUUGAACGUUGUACACUGUUAUUGUGUUACACAUAAUUGCUUUUAAUAUGUUUGUUUUAUGUGUUGGUUGUAUUGCUGAAGGCCUAGCUGUGUUUAUCUGCUAAAUAUGCUGGUUUUACUGUAAAGUGUCUUUGAGUAGUCUACGCACUAGGCUAUAUAAAUAAGUUAUUAUUAUUUAGACUAGUGUCCCUCAAAAGUCAGCAGAGGGAAUUAAUGUUCCUUGGGAAUUUAUAUUAUGUACAACCAUAUGCACAAAUCUCUAUAAACUGUGUCUAAUUCUAAAUAUCUUUCUACAUUUAAUGUUCAUACAGAACAAACAUGACUGGACAAAAGCGAUCUUGGCAACAAGUCAAAAUAAAAUACAAAAACAUUUUGCAGUCUGCAGUGAAGAAGAAGAAUCAUUUGUCUGGCACUGGGGGAGGGUCACCAGCUCCAGGCUUCACCCCAGCAGUGGAAUUGGCCCUUGUGUUGAAUAAAGGAAGGCCUGUGAUGGAAGGGAUUCAGGGUGGGACAGCUACUGACUGUGUUCCACCUACAGAAACUGCCCUCCUCAUACAUGUGUCCGGCGACACAGUUACUCUCCUGCCACCAGACGAAGAUCCAGUGAGUAUUAUUCGUUAAAAGCACAAAGCUUGGCACAUUGUGUCAAUACAAAUUAUAUUCAAUGUGGCAGGGAGAAGGAACUUCUGCAGUAUGGGAAGGGGCUUCUGCAGAUGAUGACGAGGAGACUGUGUCACUGGAUUCCAGAAGGCCUGAGGUAUCAUGUCAAUUGUAUGGAAAUGCAUAUUUAGCCCAUAAUGGGUGAGAAGUCAGUUUAUUCUUUGAUUUGGAAGGGCAAUUUGUAUAAAGCAGGAAGACAUCACAUGAGAAUACAACACAAACCACACAACAAUUAACACAGUAAAAGUAUUUUAUAUAGCAUUCAUAUUUGUAACAGGAUCCAGACAGAGUACAGCCUGACAGCCAACCUGGCAUCAUAGUAAGUAUGGGCUCUAAAGUAAAUCUAAAUGAUACAUAAUUCCUGCUGUGCUAAUCAAUGGGUGGUUUACAGAAUUCACAAACUGUCAGAUGUCUGUACAGUCAACAUCUCAAAAAACAAAUUGAGCUGGCAGAUACACAGGUUGCCCUCAAUAAAAGGAGUCUCCAGGAUCUGGACCUUGGUAUUGAAAUAAAGAAAAAGAAACUGAGGAAACUGGAUCUGGAGAUAAAGAAACUAGAAAAAUAAGUAAAUGACUUCAAUCCAUACUUCAAGCAUAUCUGUAAAACAAUGUAUUAAUUAUGUUUUUCUCCCCAGCUCUCCUAAGGACAAGACAAUAAAAU